CAUAAAACAAUAGGAAUUUCCAGAGUCCUGAUUAAAUUACUGGCGUCUGUUUCCCUUACGUUGGCCAACAGAAAGCGUUUCAUUAUGAAGGUAAGACGCUUCCUUGCCGUUGCCUGAAUUUCUUCCACAAAGCUUAGGGUUAUCAUUUGUCCACUCUUAAAGUGCCAGCACGGUUUUCUGAUAUCUGCUCUUUCAUUUCAAUUUAGACGUUUUUGAUGGCAUACUUGUCUUCUACAGGUUUAAAUUACAUACAAGCCAUGCGUUUGGAUGAGCAUGAGUUCUCUGGAACAGCAUAGUGCCUACUAUGUAGUUAGGAAAGCUUAGUCAUGUGGUUUCAGGAUUUGGAGGUUUCACUAUGGUCUGUUUUUGCUCUCUGUUCAAGCUCUAAUUCCCUUCUGCAGGCACCCCCCUCUCUGUGCAUAGCUGAAGCAAAAGCCAGAGUUUUGAUUUUAGUGAAGGCUGAAGCCUACUUAUUUUGUCAAGAAGUUGUAAGCGUGAUCGCUGCACUCCUGCCUUCCUUGCAAAGGACACCCCGGAGAGAGCAACAAAUAGAAAAAAAAGAGAGCUUCCCAGCACGAGGAACCCUGGGAUACUUAUCUGCGUGCUUGACCCAGUGCAAAAAUACUGACAGCCAGGCUGUGUUUUGGCCUCAGCAUGGCUCCUGGCUGCCUGGUCUGGGCUAUUUCAGUCUGCGAGGGUACUCUGCAAAGCGGAGAAAAGAAGCCAAGGAUGAAAAGGGAAAUGACUGGUCUACUGUUGCAUUGGGAGGCUGUGCUAGGACACAGAAGAUUCAGAAGCCCGAGAUUCCUAGCACAGGAGGCAAUAACCUCGCACUGUCUCGGAUCAUAUCGUGUCACACUGAAUGUUGACCUUGGCUGACCUUACAUCAUGACAUGCUACAGUUGAAGUAAUGUAACAUGAACCAAUGUAUCAUGCGCUUAAUGUUAAUCUGGAGUUAUCAUCUGUGAACAAGGCAAAAAGUUUGGAAAGUUUGUUGUGUGGAUCUGCCCUGUGUUCCUCGGGCAGUCUCUGAGCUGCACGUGUUCGAGCUAACAACCAAAACCAACAGAGGGGAAGAAGAAGGGCGGAAACCAGACAAGUAUUUCUGUAACAGUUAGUUAUAAAGAUCCUGAUCAGUUUAAUGUGGAUCUGAAGAUAAUCUACUAAAGAGGCUCUAUGCCCCUUGACACCGUAGUAACCAGGGCAGGAGCGCGAGCAGGCAGUGGGAGCGCUCGACAGCAUUCGUUGGACUCUUGGGGUUUUUGGUGUAGAAAGCUUCAUAUAUACGUUUCUGAGUACAUUUGUUGUUGAAUGUAUUGCUGAAUAUAUUUAUUGCUAUUACGCUGGUUAAAAAAAGGGUUAAUGGUAGUGUUGGGCCUUAUGAAGUAAUCAUUUUCGUAAUAUUUACUUUAUUCAUGUGCUUGCUCAGCCUUUUGACCCUCUGUGAAAUUGUACCUAAUAUUAUGAGGGUUUAUCUGUGGGGGUUUUUUUCCUAGAAAGACUUUGAGAUAAUUCUGUGCGCUGUUUUGGAAAAUAAUUUGUAA
rnacentral:lncRNA from 1 species